UUGGGAGUUGCACCAUUAGUCAUUACUACCUUUGCUUGUCACUUAAAAAGAUAAAAAUUUCAUACUUUAAGAGAUUUAUUGAUUUAUUAAUAUACAAUCAAUUGCCACAUUUUAUUAUUAUUUAUUUUGUUUUGUUUUUUUAAUGGCGUUUGCACCACAUGUAUAUGUGAUCGAGCUGCAUAUAACAUCAUGUGCUAUGUGUUGUUUGCUGGGCAGGGACCAGCUUGCAGCCGUCUCAUUCUGCGUCUCCGGGGCUUUGUCAAGGUUCAUCACGGGGUUACCGUGACAGCACUAGUGGGGCCUCAUGCCAGACAUAUCACCAUAAUGAAAAGAAGGACGCUCAAGUAAAAAAACAUCGCAGAGGGAACAUUAUCAAGGACAGCACAACAAACCUAAAAGUAUUUGCAUCUCACACUAUCAACCAAAACACUGACAUUAUGCUCCAUGCACUGAAGAAAAUAAAACAAUUAGACAGAAAUCCUAACACUCCAGCAAAUGUGUGAAAGAGAGAAAGAUAGAGUCACAAAGAAUCACCAGUCCUGCUGCUGGAAGUGAGUGUCACUGCAUUAGCCAUUCAAGUCCAGUGUAAACAUGGCGGGUCAUCCGCGAGUCCGGUUGGAUCAAUAGCAGCACUGCUCUAAGCUCUGCCUUCAGAGGGGACCAGACUCCUCAUCUUCACUUAAACAUCCUGUGCAUCAUUACAGACACUUCUUGUACUCUGGAUGGAAAUGAGACACUUAAUCCCAAAAAUACAGCAUACAGCUUGGCCAUACUUUGUUAAACUAGUCAGAUAUACAAAUGAGAGCCUUUCUUUUGACGGGACUUGGGCCAAAUUAUUAUUAUUAGUAAUAGUAGUAGUGGGUUAGGGUGAAUUAUGAGCAUUCACAUUAAGUUUGGAAAAACUCAGCUAUGCACUAGUCCAUGCUUACAUGAACACACACCAGGCUACAGAGACAUACACUUGUCCAUAUAAACUCACACAGCCUACCAAAGACCUCAGAAGACAGCAACAUGAAUAAAACAUCUGUCUAGAGCA
ensembl:lncRNA